rnacentral:misc_RNA from 1 species
GCAAACUUGGUCAUUUAGAGGAAGUAAAAGUCGUAACAAGGUAACCGUAGGUGAACCUGCGGUUGGAUCAUUACUGAACUGUGAAAAAUUGACCCCAUUCAUGUGAACUGUUAUUUUUCUUUGGUGGCCCACAAAACAUGUUGGAGCGUUUUUUUUUAUAUACUUGCUUACUUGGCCGAGGUCUUGGGAGUACCGUUAUAUAGAAAGAACGCGACUUCGGGCCACCUAACUGUUAUUAAAUUCUUGUUUUGAAUGUAUAUUUUGUCUUUGUAUGAGUUGAAUCUCUAAUAAAACAAAAACAACUUUUGACAAUGGAUCUCUUGGCUCUUGCAUCGAUGAAGAACGCAGC